rnacentral:rRNA from 1 species
CAGCAGCCGCGGUAAUGCGUAGGGUGCGAGCGUUAAUCGGAAUUACUGGGCGUAAAGCGUGCGCAGGCGGUUUUGUAAGACAGGCGUGAAAUCCCCGGGCUCAACCUGGGAAUGGCGCUUGUGACUGCAAAGCUAGAGUGCGGCAGAGGGGGAUGGAAUUCCGCGUGUAGCAGUGAAAUGCGUAGAUAUGCGGAGGAACACCGAUGGCGAAGGCAAUCCCCUGGGCCUGCACUGACGCUCAUGCACGAAAGCGUGGGGAGCAAACAGGAUUAGAUACCCCAGUAGUCCCUGUCUCUUAUAC